AACGCGGGCGGCGUGCCUAACACAUGCAAGUCGAACGGAGGCAGGGAGCUUGCUCCUUGCUUUAGUGGCGCACGGGUGAGUAAUGCGUAGAUAAUCUACCUGAGGGUCCGGGAUAACAUCUCGAAAGGGGUGCUAAUACCGGAUAAGCCCACGGAGUCUUCGGACUUUGCGGGAAAAGGGGGGGACCUUCGGGCCUUCUGUCCUCAGAUGAGUCUACGUACCAUUAGCUAGUUGGUGGGGUAAAGGCCUACCAAGGCGACGAUGGUUAGCUGGUCUGAGAGGAUGAUCAGCCACACUGGAACUGAGACACGGUCCAGACUCCUACGGGAGGCAGCAGUGGGGAAUUUUGCGCAAUGGGGGAAACCCUGACGCAGCAACGCCGCGUGAGUGAUGAAGGCCUUCGGGUCGUAAAGCUCUGUCAGAGGGAAAGAAAUGUACGAGGGUUAAUACCCCUUGUACUUGACGGUACCCUCAAAGGAAGCACCGGCUAACUCCGUGCCAGCAGCCGCGGCAAUACGGAGGGUGCGAGCGUUGUUCGGAUUUAUUGGGCGUAAAGCGCGUGUAGGCGGCUUCUUAAGUCUGAUGUGAAAGCCCUGGGCUCAACCCGGGAAGUGCAUUGGAAACUGGGAAACUUGAAUACGGGAGAGGGUAGUGGAAUUCCUGGUGUAGGAGUGAAAUCCGUAGAUAUCAGGAGGAACACCGGUGGCGAAGGCGGCUACCUGGACCGAUAUUGACGCUGAGACGCGAAAGCGUGGGGAGCAAACAGGAUUAGAUACCCUGGUAGUCCACGCCGUAAACGAUGAGUACUAGGUGUUGCGGGUAUUGACCCCUGCAGUGCCGCAGCUAACGCAUUAAGUACUCCGCCUGGGAAGUACGGUCGCAGACUAAAACUCAAAU
rnacentral:rRNA from 1 species